GUCUUACGGGUGUAAAACGGCAUGAGGGUGAGUAAUUUUCAUUUUUGGGUGAACUAACCCUUUAAUGCGAGGAGGCCGGGCCAUUCGUCACAAACUGACACUCAGCAGUGUUUUACUCAACAGUUUCAAUUCAUUAUUGACUGGACAAAUUCAAUGUAAUUGCUAUUUAGCAACUGUUACUGCUAUUUAGACUUUUUUUAGGGGUUCAAGCGUGUAUCACUGAAACCCUUAUUGUAAUAGUUAAAAUUUCCAAGGAUCAGUAUUCUCGCCUAAAAGUGAAGUGGGCAGAGCCAUUUUUACUAAUUCACUAACUCAUGAAAGGAAGCGAUAUUUUCACCAAACUCAGCACACCUAUGUAAGAGCUCAUUCUGUAGUAGUGUGGAAAAGGACGUACCGACUGGCCACUUGGUGGCGCUGUAACAGCAAAAAAAAAAAAAAAAAAAAAACAUGAAAAUGGCUAUAACUACUACAUGGCACAUUGGUCUUAGUCCAAUGUGCCAUGAUUGUCUAUGAGGACAUUGGCGUGUCUCAAAAAACAUGUCUGCCAUCGGCCAAUGAAAUUUGAGCAGUAAUCAGACAAGGUUAACGGAGGCCAAUCGGAAUGAAACUCGAUGGGCCUGUUUGACUCGCAACCCUUGAGGCCUGUGAGAAAUUUGAAAAAAAAAUCAGCCACCUUCAUGUUUUUCAUGUGCGUAAAGGAUUGUACAUCACGCAAUGUUUCGACACGCCCACGACAUUUCUACCCAUGGUAGAACCCCUCAUUUUAAGCAACUUUGCCUCUAGGACCGCCGCUGUCCAUCGGAUUGUUUGUUAAAUAUUGGAGAUUAUUUCAAAAAACAACUUUGGCGAACUAGGCCUAGGUUUUUGGCUCUACCUCUAUAAAACCACUGCGGCACAAUUCUCGGGAUUUCUAGGUCAAUUGUUUAAAAAAAGUAGUUAUAACAGGGUUAUUUAGAAAAUAGGCAUAACAAAAUAUACUCAAAUUCCUAUAAAUCCUAAACAAAAAGGAAAAUAGGUGAGCAUGUGCAACAUCAGACCAUAGGUGGCGCUAUAACUUAAAAAGCUUUUAAAAAACAUGUUUCUUAGUAAAUUGCUUGCAUUAGCUGUAAACAGUCUUUUCUAUCUAUAAUCUAAGUGGUUACAUGCUUGCUAAAUAAAACGCAUUGGCUUAAAGGCCUUUAAGUGCUUGAACCCUGAUAAUUGCUGCUCGCAGCUAUAUUGUAUUUUUUUAUCAUAAAUUGGAACUUUUCCAGUCUCAGUCUCUCAUACAUAUGUGGUCAAGCAUGUGAACUGUCUUGAUAUAUUAAAUAAUAAUAAUUAGAAGUAUGAAAUUCUUAUUAAGCAGUUUGGCAUAAUCUAUUAUUAUGCCAUAUCACCCUGUAGCCCAAGACUGGUUGCCUACUGAAACAAAGCAGGGUUGAGCCUGGUCAGUAUCUGGAUGGGAGACCUCCUGAGAAAACUAGGUUGCUGCUGGAAGAGGUGUUAGUGAGGCCAGCAGGGGGCGCUCACCCUGUGGUCUGUGUGGGUCCUAACACCCCAGUAUAGUGAUGGGGACACUAUACUGUCAAAAAGCACCGUCCUUCGGAUGAGACGUUAAACCGAGGUCCUGACUCUAUGGUCAUUAAAAAAUCCCAGGAUGUCCUUUGAAAAGAGUAGGGGUGUAACCCCGACAUCCUGGCCAAAUUUGCCCAUUGGCCUCUGUCCAUCAUCAUGGCCUCCUAAUCAUCCCCAUCUAUCUACUGUUUGGCUUCCUCACUCUGUCUCCUCUCCACCAAUAAGCUGGUGUGUGGUGGGCGUUCUGGUGCAAUAUGGCUGCCGUCGCAUCAUCCAGGUGGAUGCUGCACAUUGGUGGUGGUUGAGGAGAUUCCCCCUUCCUUAUGUAAAGCGCUCUGAGUACCCAGAAAAGCGCUAUAUAAAUGUAAGGAAUUAUUAUUAUUUCUUAAAAAUAUUUGGUUACACUAUUUUGAUGGUCCACUUUAGACAUUCUACCAACUAUAAGUAACUUUGCAACUACAUGUCAACUAACUCUCAUUGGAGUAUUAGUGGUAGACUGCUAGUUAACUUUUAGGUUAGGGUUAGUAAUAAGUUGACAAGUUACUUAUAGUCAGUAGAAUGUCUGUUGGGGAGCAUCAAAAUAAAGUGUCAGCAGAUAUUAAGCAGACAAUCUACUAAUACUCUAAUUAGAGUUAGUUUACAUGUAGCAAAGUUACUUGUAGUUACAGUAAUAGAAUAUCUAAUUGGACCAUCAAAACAAAGUGUUACCAGAUAUUUUAACAAAACUGCUUAGCUGUUUAAAGUCAUGGACCUACAUGACCAAGUUAAGACCAUCAUAAUCGUUCUGGAUUCUCUGGUUACUGUUUUGCCAUUUAAGCAGUCUUGUGGACACAUCUGCUGCUGACCUGUAAUAGAGGCCUGUGGUACUGAUGAUUAUGAUUUCUUACCAAAACCUCAGGCAAUUAAGUUUUUAGCAUGGUUUAACUUUAUGCUUUUAACAGAGUUUACUGUUUGAACACUAAACCUGAUAUGAACAUUACAAUAUCACAACAUCCUAAUUUUUGUAUUGACAUAAAUUAAACCAACUCAAUUAUGUGGCCCUAUAGGUUCAGUAGCCUAUCCAUUACACUUCCCUGAAGAAAACGUGGACAUUUGUUGCCUGCGCCAAUGGAUUGCAUCAUGUAUUUAUAGCCCAUUUAUUAUUAUAUGCUUCUUUUUAUAUUUUGUACAGUUAAUUUAAAUAUUGUAAAUAUACAGUCGUUUUGAUAACUCAACACAUUUUUCUCCUAUUUGUAUAGGAUUUACAGUUCAGCUGUGUCAUUUGGAAUUAUAAAAGAUAUUUAGAUUGGUGGCCACAACUAAAAGAAAGUGAAAUGUUCUAACUGAAGUGGUAUCAAUCAGCAGGGGUAUGUGCCAUCACAAAUGGACUCUUACCAAUCAGGUAUUUCAUUGUAAACUAGCAUUAGAGAAAAUGACAAAAACCAUUAUAAAGUGACACCUAACACUCUGAAAUGCAUUAAGAAAACUGGCAGCAAGUGUUCAGAAGUGUGCUGGACCUUGACUCUUCACAGUGCAGAGUAAUCUAGGUCUGGAGAUACUACAUUAAACAGGAUGUCUAUUAUAAUGUGCCUACGGCAAGUCAAAUAUUUAACAAAACAUUCAGGCAUCUCCAGAAGGAAUGCGUGUUCACACUGUUAAAAAAUUGUUUUAUUUCUUAGUACAUAAUACCAUAAAAUUAUUUGUGAAAUAUCAAAGAUGAAAGAUGAGAACCACUAACCACAUAUUAAAUUAUAGGCCUAUCUACAGAUCAAUUUCAGACUCUGAUUACUUGUUUUUGCUACUGUCUAACUCACAAACAAAUAAAUACACCACUGGUGAAUAUUCCUCAACUGUCAUGAGUUUUGGUUUAUCUCACGCUGGCCAAUGUUACAUUUACUUAUACUGAUUCCUACCAGCGUGUCGCACCAUCAUGCAAAAAUAAAGGUUUACAGUAACGGAUGCGACUGGUAAUGUGGUAUUCAUGACCCAUGAUAGAUUAAUUCCGUGUGGUUCCUAGAAUGGGCUGUUUGUAUGACCAACAACAUACAGUAGCACUGGUAUUACACAACAUUCAGUGGCACGUGCUACUCAAAUACAGAUGUGCCACCAACUGACUACGUUUGAAAAUAUUACCGAUUUGUAAAUACAUUUACAUGAUAUUUAUUUAUUUAUUUUUUUAAAUCACUAAAUUAGGCAAUUUAUUUAGGAUUUUGUGUCACAAUUACAUCAGUUUUGGAGGUGCCACAACAUUGAUAGUCACACAUGGCAGUUUUGGUUUUUGGACGUGCCACCGAAUGUGCUACUAAGCACAGCGCCAAUGGCUUCUGUGCACAAGAUGCCAUGCCACUUAAUGUUAAUACUGCUACUGGGUAGCGGCUAAUGAAUCUGAAGUCUUGCACAUUCACAGAAAAUAGCUUACUCCUGUCUUACAAAAUAAGGUGGAUACAUUAUGACCACUAGAUGGUCACAACGUACACCAUAAUGCAGGGGUGUCCAAUCCUGAUCCUGGAGGGUCACUGUCUUGCCAAGUUUAGUUCCAACCCCAAUUAAACACACCUGAACCAGCUAUUUAAGGUCUACUAGGCAUCCUAGAAACUUCCAGGCAGGUGUGUUGAGGCAACUAGGAGCUAAACUCUGCAGGACAGUGGCCCUCCAGGACUGAGUUUAGGCGCCCCUGGCAUAAUGAAAAACUUCUGAUUAAUGAACCCAAUGCUGCAAAGCUUCAUUUAGCCAUUAUUAGCAGUGUUCACUGCACUCUGAGCAGCAUGCAGAAGAUGCUGAGCCUAUUUUAGCAGUGCAUUUCUUAAAGGAAUAGUUCACCCAAAAAUGAAAAUUCUGUCAUUUACUUACGGGUUUGGAACGACACAAGGGUAAGACUUUCAUUCAUCUUCGAAAGACAAGAUAUUUUUAAUGAAAUCUGAGUGAUUUCUGUCCCUCCAUAGACAGCUACACAACUACCACUUUGAUGCUUCACAUAAAGAGAUUGUCAAACUAAUUCAUAUGAAUCGAGUGGUUUAGUCCAAAUUUUCUGAAGAGACUCUAUCGCUUUAUAUGAUGAACAGACUGAAUUUAGGCUUUUAUUCACGUAAACAUUCAUCAACUAAACAGAAGCUCAAGCAUGUUUGCUUGCCAUGUGAGAACCAGUGAAGUUCAUUCUCGUGUUACGCAGCACAUUUGAGCUUCAGCAAGAACCAAUGAGAUUCAUUCUUGUGUUACGCAGGACGUUUGAACUUCCACAAGUACCAAUGAGGUUCAUUCUUGUGUUACACAGGACGUUUGAGCGUCAGCAAGAACCAAUGAGGUUCAUUCUCGUGUUACGCAGCACGUUUGAGCUUCAGCAAGAACCAAUGAGAUUUAUUCUUGUGUUACGCAGGACGUUUGAGCUUCAGCAAGUACCAAUGAGGUUCAUUCUUGUGUUACGCAGCACACUUGAGCUUCAGCAAGUACCAAUGAGGUUCAUUCUUGUUACGCAGGAUGUUUGAGCUUCAGCAAGAACCAAUGAGGUUCAUUCUCGUGUUACGCAGCACAUUUGAGCUUCAGCAAGAACCAAUGAGGUUCAUUCUCGUGUUACGCAGGACGUUUGAGCUUCUGCAAGAACCAAUGAGAUUCAUUCUCGUGUUACGCAGCACAUUUGAGCUUCCACAAGAACCAAUGAGGUUCAUUCUUGUGUUACGCAGCAUGUUUGAGCUUUAGCAAGAACCAAUGAAGUUUGUUCUUGUGCGUCUAAGCAAGUACAGUUGAGCUUCUGUUUAUGUUCUCUGAUAAAUGUUUAUAGGUGAAUAAAUGUCUAAAUUUAAUCUGUUCAUCAUAUAAAGCAAUCAAAUCUCUUCAGAAAAGUCAAAGUUGUAGUUGUGUAGACUGUCAAUGGAGGGACAGAAAUUGUUCAGAUUGAAGGUGAGUAGAUAAUGACAUAAUUUUCAUUUUUGUAUGAACAAAUCCUUUAACAAAAAACACAUUGAGAACGUACUGUAAACCUAUUAAAAUGGUGUUUACAAUGGCUUUAUGAAGCAAAAAAAAAAAAAAAAAGACAUUGGUCAGGUUUGAUGCAGUGGCAAACACAUUCUAUUCAGUACAUGUGACUGAAUCCAGUUUGAGGUUCAGUGUAAAUGAAUUGCCAUUUGGAUGUAAAUGAAGCA